rnacentral:rRNA from 1 species
CCUACGGGUGGCUGCAGUGAGGAAUAUUGGUCAACGGACGAGAGUCUGAACCAGCCAAGUAGCGUGAAGGAUGACUGCCCUAUGGGUUGUAAACUUCUUUUAUAUGGGAAUAAAACGUUCCACGUGUGGGAUUUUGUAUGUACCAUAUGAAUAAGGAUCGGCUAACUCCGUGCCAGCAGCCGCGGUAAUACGGAGGAUCCGAGCGUUAUCCGGAUUUAUUGGGUUUAAAGGGAGCGUAGGUGGAUUGUUAAGUCAGUUGUGAAAGUUUGCGGCUCAACCGUAAAAUUGCAGUUGAAACUGGCAGUCUUGAGUACAGUAGAGGUGGGCGGAAUUCGUGGUGUAGCGGUGAAAUGCUUAGAUAUCACGAAGAACACCGAUUGCGAAGGCAGUUCACUGGACUGCAACUGACACUGAGGCUCGAAAGUGUGGGUAUCAAACAGGAUUAGAUACCCCUGUAGUC